GUCCUCUACUCGUUACCUGUAUUAAUGGCACCUGUUUGAACUUGUUAUCAGUAUAAAAGACACCUGUCCACAACCUCAAACAGUCACAUUCCAAACUCCACUAUGGCCAAGACCAAAGAGCUGUCAAAGGACACCAGACAACAAAAUUGCAGGCUGGGAAGACUGAAUCUGCAAUAGGUAAGCAGCUUGGUUUGAAGAAAUCAACUGUGGGAGCAAUUAUUAGGAAAUGGAAGACAUACAAGACCACUGAUAAUCUGAUAAUUGUUUUCCUUCUCAUUUUGUCUGUUAUAGUUUAAGUGUACCUAUGAUGAAAAUUACAGGCCUCUCUCAUCUUUUUAAGUGGGAGAACUUGCACAAUUGGUGGCUGACUAAAUACUUUUUUGCCCCACUGUAUGUUUGUUUAGUGCUAUAGAUGCUAGUCAGGUGACAGAAGUAAUCGGGUGGCACAGGGCUAAUACUACCUUCCUCCCCUCCAGCAUUUCCACCUUGGCUCCACUCUCAAGAUGGACAGAAUUGAAAUCCGGGAGAUCAAGGAUCCACGAUAUGGUGUCCAACUGUUCCACUGAGCAUCCCCCCCAACCUUCCCCUCCUCUCCUUCCUCUCUUCUGCUCGUCACCUCAGCUCUUCAGGUCCAACCAUCGGUCUUGAAGUGGAGGCUCCAUCCAGCUGUUUGUAAAAAUAGAAAUGAAAUGGAAGAGAAAAUAUGUCUGUUUGAAGAGAACUACGAUAAAAAUUAAUAAUAUUAUCAGCUUUAUAAAACUCUGGGAAAAUAAUAAAUGAUAUACAGUAUUAAUUAAUUAUCACAUAUUACUGUAACAAAGGUAAUUAAGUUAUUGAUGAUGAUAAU
rnacentral:lncRNA from 1 species